rnacentral:rRNA from 1 species
UUGCUUCCUGGUGGCGAGCGGCGGACGGGUGAGUAAUGCAUAGAAAUCUGCCCGGUAGUGGGGGAUAACUUGGGGAAACCCAGGCUAAUACCGCAUACGUCCUACGGGAGAAAGCAGGGGAUCUUCGGACCUUGCGCUAUCGGAUGAGUCUAUGUCGGGUUAGCUUGUUGGUGAGGUAAUGGCUCACCAAGGCGACGAUCCGUAGCUGGUCUGAGAGGAUGAUCCGCCACAUCGGGACUGAGACACGGCCCGAACUCCUACGGGAGGCAGCAGUGGGGAAUAUUGGACAAUGGGCGAAAGCCUGAUCCAGCCAUGCCGCGUGUGUGAAGAAGGCCUUCGGGUUGUAAAGCACUUUCAGUGGGGAAGAAAGCCUUGGGGCUAAUACCCUCGAGGAAGGACAUCACCCACAGAAGAAGCACCGGCUAACCCCGUGCCAGCAGCCGCGGUAAUACGGAGGGUGCGAGCGUUAAUCGGAAUUACUGGGCGUAAAGCGCGCGUAGGCGGUCUGAUAAGCCGGUUGUGAAAGCCCCGGGCUCAACCUGGGAACGGCAUCCGGAACUGUCAGGCUAGAGUGCAGGAGAGGAAGGUAGAAUUCCCGGUGUAGCGGUGAAAUGCGUAGAGAUCGGGAGGAAUACCAGUGGCGAAGGCGGCCUUCUGGACUGACACUGACGCUGAGGUGCGAAAGCGUGGGUAGCAAACAGGAUUAGAUGCCCUGGUAGUCCACGCCGUAAACGAUGUCGACUAGCCGUUGGGAUCCUUGAGAUCUUAGUGGCGCAGCUAACGCAUUAAGUCGACCGCCUG